UGUUGGCGGGGUAACGGCCCACCAAGGCGACGAUCCAUAGCUGGUCUGAGAGGACGACCAGCCACACGGGGACUGAGACACGGCCCCGACUCCUACGGGAGGCAGCAGUGGGGAAUUUUCCGCAAUGGGCGAAAGCCUGACGGAGUGACGCCGCGUGUGGGACGAAGGCCUUCGGGUCGUAAACCACUGUCAGUGGGAAAGAUGGGUGUCGGUGUUAAUACCAUCGGCAUCUGACGGUACCUGCAGAGGAAGCCCCGGCCAACUCUGUGCCAGCAGCCGCGGUAAGACAGAGGGGGCAAGCGUUGCUCGGAAUUACUGGGCGUAAAGGGCGCGUAGGCGGGAUGGUAAGUCGGUCGUGAAAUCCCUCGGCUCAACCGAGGAACGUCGAUCGAUACUACCGUUCUUGAGGGUUGCAGAGGAGACUGGAAUUCCCGGUGUAGCGGUGAAAUGUGUAGAGAUCGGGAGGAACACCGGUGGCGAAGGCGGGUCUCUGGGCAAUUCCUGACGCUGAGGCGCGAAAGCGUGGGGAGCAAACGGGAUUAGAUACCCCGGUAGUCCACGCUGUAAACGAUGAGCACUAGGUGUGGGGGGGGUUCAGUCCCCUCCGUGCCGCAGCUAACGCAUUAAGUGCUCCGCCUGGGGAGUACGGCCGCAAGGUUGAA
rnacentral:rRNA from 1 species